rfam:Pseudomonas sp. BRH_c35 BRHa_1005827, whole genome shotgun sequence.
GGGGCCGAUUAGGAUUCGACGCCGGUAACAAAACUUGAGGGGCAUGCCGAGUUGGUAACAGAACUCGUAAAUAAACUGUUGCAAACUUAUAGUUGCCAACGACGACAACUACGAAGGGUACGCGCUAGCCGCCUAACCUUCAUCUGGUAGCUUCGGCUCCAGCGGUCACUAGGGGAUGCCUGUAAACCCGAAAUGACUGUCAGACAGAACAGGAUCGCCGCCAAGUUCGCUGUAGACGUAACGGCUAAAACUCAUACAGCUCGCUCCAAGCACCCUGCCAAUCGGGCGGCGCGGAGUUAACUCAGUAGAUCUGGCUAAGCAUGUAGAACCGAUAGCGGAGAGCUGGCGGACGGGGGUUCAAAUCCCCCCGGCUCCACCA